rnacentral:lncRNA from 1 species
GCAUGAGCAACCGCACUGUGACAUUCAUACCACCUGUACUCCCCAGAACUGGGCAUGAACCUGCCUAAACCAAGAACUGGAAAAGAAGCUUCACGCCUCCAGAUCUCUCUACAUCCCAAAAUAAGAAUCACAGCUCAAAUUCUGGAGAGUAGUCAUCGGAAGCCCAUUCCUACACACCCAAGGAUACAACCCCGUGACCAGCCAGCCUUCUACCCUAGACUCUAAACUUUGUCAUCAUGAAAUGUCUCCAGUGUUUCUUCCAGGCGCAUCUGACUCCUAACCCCACACGCAGAAGACUUUCUCAGAUGCUUGCCCUCCCCACAGCCUACCCUACAGUUUACAGAGAAUCUCCCUCAAGACACAGACUGAGUUGUGGGUGGUGGGAAAAAAUGGUUUCAUCUGCCUCAGUCUUAGUAGGGGCCUGGCUCAGUUACCUGAUACUCAAAGGCUAUGACAUCAUCCUUGCCAGAACCUAUGGGCAGCGAUUGUGAACUUGGACAUCACCCGAGAGCCAGGCACAUGCUAACUGCCAAGCAAAGAAUCCAGCAGAUAAAAAAUGGAGGAAAUAAAUGUGAUGUAAAACAAAGGCCUGCUUGGUCCUCCCUGGUUGUGGGAUGUGAGGACAGAGCUGGUAAGUCACGGCUCCGUGCAGUGGGAGAAAACCCAAGACACAGUUCGUAAACUCACUUGUGGUCUCUUAUUCAUCCUUGUGGGGCUCACUGGCCUUCUGUGAAGUGAAGGGGCGUCAGGACUAAGGGAUAAAGGAGGCCUUCGAGUCUAACACACCAUGACUGGAACAGUCUCAAGGUACCUGUUCCAACACAGUCCCCCGGCCCGUGGGAGGACCACCUAGUCCAACAGAAUUCUGUAAACUAUAAUUUUGUAAAUAUGAAUACGUGUGUCAUGUGGUCUGGAAAGACAGCUUUUAUUUCUCUUCUGAACAGACUCUGAACAAACAAGCAUAGCACAUUAAAUAACUCGGUGACAGAGCACGUAAUCCUAGGAGUAAGAAUGUGUCACACAGCCAGUACGACAGUAACUCACUAGAGCAAGAUAGUAAGUUCCUGAAUUGUCCGCUUCCUUAUAUGCUGACCUGCUGUUAGUAAGUGCAGACUUUUAACUCGUUCAUUAAAAUAGGAUUACUAGGGGCAGUUGCGUAACAGUCAUCAGAAAUGACUGGGUUUUUGCUAAAAAACCAACACCGGAUGCAGAAAUUCUGUUUUCAUAUUAGUUUACCAGUAUUUAAGAUAUGCUCUGAUCCUAUUUCUAAAAGCAGAAAGUCAAAGGACAGCCUCUGAUGGAGGAGGAGGAAGAGGAGAAGAUGAAGAAGAAGACGAAGAAGAAGAAGAAGAAAGGAACCAGCAGCGGGUGAAGGGGAGGAAAAGCACUGUCAUGGGGUGCUGUGAUAAAAGUAUAUGGUGUGAAUAGACAAGCGCCAUAAUAAAACUCAUUGUCCAGUGAGUGCAGAUGCUAGU